CUGUUUUCUGAAGGUGGCUGUCCUGCUGUUGGCAGCUUCUUUGUUUCGUGGGGUUUUUUUUCCCAGAGUGGGCUGGUUGCCAUCAGGUGGGAGUCAGGGCACUGUGAUGAGGACCUCACAUUUGCAUGCAGUCAGGCACUGGGGCACUUUUAGUGUGUGCUGUGUUGUAGUGUUACACCCAGGCUAGUGAGGAGGGGUGCUUCCCCCCUGAGGC